rnacentral:rRNA from 1 species
UACGUAGGGUGCAAGCGUUGUCCGGAAUUAUUGGGCGUAAAGAGCUCGUAGGUGGUUUGUUACGUCCGCUGUGAAAUCCUAGGGCUUAACCCUGGGCUUGCAGUGGAUACGGGCAGACUAGAGGUAGGUAGGGGAGAAUGGAAUUCCUGGUGUAGCGGUGAAAUGCGCAGAUAUCAGGAGGAACACCGGUGGCGAAGGCGGUUCUCUGGGCAUUACCUGACGCUGGAGGAGCGAAAGCGUGGGGAGCGAACAGG